rnacentral:piRNA from 1 species
UGUGCAAGGAGAGGGAGCCCCAGG